AAAGUUUAGAAAUUAAGGUGUGCUAUUAGUUUUUCCUCUUCAAUUCUCAGUUGUCAUAGGCUCAGUCUCAUCUUCUCAUCUAGUUCUGACACAACCAAAUGUAUUGUACGCACUUGUGAUACCAGCCACUGCUCUGCUGCUCCACAUUUUGCAUUGAACUAUAAUCAAGUAGAGGACACCUCCCCUCUGGAGGAAGACCUCAUUGCACUCUUCACCAUCCUCACGAGGGAAAGCAGAGGGGAGGCAAUUUUCAACAAGAAUUGGAAGAAGGAUCCCAUCACCAGCCAAGAUUUGCAGACGUAUGUACAUACUACUGAGAAUUUUUCACCAAAUGCAAGAUGCAGCAUCUGGAUCAGGGCAAACCCAGACAUCAGUACAGACUGGGAGAUAACUUACUGAGAGCAGACCUAUAGACAAGGACUUGCAGGCUUUCAUGGAUGAAAAGCUGGACAUGACCUGUCAAUGUGCACUCACAGCCCAGCAGGCCAGUGGUAUCCUGGGCUGCAGCAAAAGAGGACUGGCCAACAGGCCAAGGUAGGUGAUUGUCCCCUUCUACUCUGCUCUCAUGAAACCCCACCUGCAGUGCUGUGCCCAGGUCUGGGGUCCUCAGCACAAGAAAAAACAUGGACCGGUUGGAGUGGGUCCAGAGGAUGCCACAAAGAUGCUCAGUGGGUUGGAGCAGCUCCACUAUGAAGACAAGCUAAGAAAGCUGGUGUUGUUCAUACUGAAGAAGAGAAUGCUCCAGGGAGACCUUACUGCAGCCUUUCAGUUCUUAAAGAAGGUGUAUAAAAAAAGACAGAAAACAUCUUUUUAUGUGGGCAGCUUGUGGUAAGACCCUUGUGGGAACAAUUUUGAACUAAAAAGGGAAGAGAUGUAAGUGACUAUUUUAAAAACAAUUCUUUACCGUGAGGGCAGUGAGGCACUGGAAAGGGUUGCCCAGAGAAGUCAUGGAUGCCCUAACUCUGGAAGCGUUCAAGACUUGCUUGGAUGGGGCUCUGAGUAACCCGAUCAAAUGGCUGGUAUCCCUGCCCAUGGCAGGGCAGCUGGAAUUAGAUGAUCUUUAAGGUUCCUUCCAACACAAACCUGUGAUUCAAUGGGGAUCAACUUUGUCAACAACUCUGAAAGGCCGGCACAUUGUACUAAACCUACUUAUUUUCUUUUCAGUCUACAAGGCUGACAGUUAUUCUGAAUUGCAAGGACCUCACAUUCUUGCUGAAGCACUUACAACUAAGCAGCAUUUUCUUUUCUUGGAGACAAAUAUUCUCUUUAACUUAUGAGGUUCUGAACCAGAUUUUAUCUCUGAAAACUCAUGAGGCACUUUUGGGCUUUUCAUAGCUUUUUGGGUUCAUCCAUUCUUCACCAAAACAACAUGCAAAGAGGCAGAUGGUUAAAUGAGGGUAGGGAAGGCUUAAAUCCCUCUCUUAUUUGCUUUUAUAAUGAGGAUCAGAAAGUAUUCUUCACUGUUUAGAAGCAGACUCUCCUCUAGUUACAGAAAAUGCAGUAUGAAGUCUAGGCCAAAAGAGCAGACCCAAGAAAAUUUUAUAAGGUCUUGUGUCACGUCUUGGAUAAUAAUGAUUCCUUUAAGUUUAGAAUGGGAUAAAUGUGUUACGCCUAACAUUUUCACUGUUCUACAAGGAGUCACCUAGUCAUGCACUCCUAGCAAGCUAAGGAAGAAAAGUAUUUGAUUAAAAUUCCACAAAAUUAUUGCUAAAAUUAAAAAUAUAAGGAGUAUGACCCAUGAAAAAGAGGAAUAAAAUAAAAACUGACGAG